rnacentral:rRNA from 1 species
GGGAAGACGGCCCUAUGGGUUGUAAACCUCUUUUGUCGGAGAACAAAACCCGGGACGAGUCCCGGACUGCGUGUAUCCGAAGAAAAAGCAUCGGCUAACUCCGUGCCAGCAGCCGCGGUAAUACGGAGGAUGCGAGCGUUAUCCGGAUUUAUUGGGUUUAAAGGGUGCGUAGGCGGUCUGUUAAGUCAGCGGUAAAAUUGCGGGGCUCAACCCCGUCGAGCCGUUGAAACUGGCAGACUUGAGUUGGCGAGAAGUACGCGGAAUGCGCGGUGUAGCGGUGAAAUGCAUAGAUAUCGCGCAGAACUCCGAUUGCGAAGGCAGCGUACCGGCGCCAGACUGACGCUGAGGCACGAAAGCGUGGGGAUCGAACAGGAUUAGAUACCCUGGUAGUCCACGCAGUAAACGAUGAAUGCUGGUUGUCCGGGUCGAAUGAGACCUGG